GGAAAAAAUUGGAUUUAAUUUCAAAACAAAUCAUUAUUUUUAGGGUUUUGUUUUUAUUUGUGUUUUUUGUUCUAUCAGUUCAUUAUUUUGUACCAUUGCUUCAGGAUUUCUCAUAAUAAUGGUUAUUAUAUAAGGGUUUGUUGUAUUUGGUUUAAAAAUUGGAUUUUUACUGUUGUGAACCGUUAAGGUUUGGUUUUUCUGGGUUAAUAUGAGUAGAAAUUUGUAUAUCUGGGUUUGAGUUUUGUUUUGGCUUCAAGUAAUGUUAUUUUGUAUAGUGGGUUUGUUUUUGUUUUUUGAAAUCGAGUAGAAAGAUCCAUAUCAACAUCAAGUUCGUCUCUUUGCUUGUUAACUUGAAGAAGAUGAAAGAGAUGAACAGUUCCUCAAAUUAAGCUCAAGGACCUUGCCAAAAUGGGUCCUGCUUUCUGCGCCGGCAUUGGCUGCAGCAUUGGUGUUAGCGUUGGUCUUGUUGGAAGUACACAAACGAGCAAAAUAAACGAAACCCUUGAUGGGUUCUUUUGAAUUACGGCUUAUGGUCCAACUUUGACUGCGAAUAUGGCAUUUGUAAGAGCGGUUUCACAUACUGGGAUGUAUCUUUCUACCAUUGAGCAUAGACCACGGGCUUUAACUGGUGAUUAGCCAUAUAUAUAUACUAUGGGGACUAUACAACAAGAAGGUUUUUUAUUCAGGGCCAUUAGACGUAACAAAAUCCCUGAUAUGAACUUGAUAUUUUGCAUGUACUAAUUUAUUAAAUGUACACCAAUUGAAGCCAAAUUACAUUUCAUACUUGCUCAUGUUCUGCCACCCAAUUUUGCCUAUUGUUAUACCUAUAUAGUUCAUCUUAAAGUGGAUUAUUUUUGCAAUUUCCUGCUCUAAAAGAUAUUAAUAAUUGGAACAGGGUUGUGCCUGAUGGUCCUUAAGAUACCUAAUGAUCUUCCAAUCACCAUGAAGCUGGUGUUGAAGGACAAGGUUGUUUCCAAGACUGGUCGUCACUAGCAUGCGUCACCUUGAGAGCAAAUAUAGCAGCUGUUUCAUGCAUGGGGGUGUCUCCAACAAUAGUUGUUUAUAUUAAAGGUGUGGUUUUCCCUCUGAUGCAUUUUUAAGGGAGAAUGAUCUGAUGGCCUAGUACAUAUGGGAAUUGAAGAUGAUUUUUGUUGGUAGAUUUUCUUUUUUGAAUGAUUGGAAAGUAUUAAUUAUUGUUAGUUAAUUUUCCAAUCAUUUAGGUAUUGUAUAUGACGUAAAGUGGUAUUAUAUAUGAUGUAAAGAAUGAUGGCUGCAAUUACCUCCAUUCUACUUCCUUUUACUAA